GACACCUUGGCGCAGUUGGCUAGCGCAUCUGUCUAACAGUUGUUCCGGCAAUUUGUGCACAGAAGGACCCAGGUUCGAGACCUGGAGGUGUCA